UUCUAAAUGAUGAAUUGACUCAAUUUUAGAACAGUUUUAGACCGUUUUGAUUAGAAAUGAAUUCAGAUUUGUAUUUAGUGA